UGCCCUGGGAGUGUAAAUAUUGGCACCUAUACCACCUUGGUGCCAAUGUUUACAUUCUCAGGGGGAG
ensembl:miRNA